GUAUUUUUGAGCUAAAAUUAUAUUUUAAGUAUAUAAUUUUCGGAAAAGUUAGCAAGGUUGAAGAAAAAUAAAUAAAGAUAUAAGGACAGAAGAUUGUGUUGACGGGUACCGAUUGUAGAAGAGAGAGGGAGGAAAUGGAGAACUCGGCGAUUUUGAGAGAGUGGUUCGAGCGGGUUGACACCGAGAAAAUCGGCAGUAUUACUGCAAUUCAGCUCAAGAGUGCUUUUGCAAUUGGAAAUUUGGAAUUUCCUAUCACUGUUGUCCAACAAAUGAUCAGGAUGUGCGAUUUUGACCUGAAUGGAACCAUGAGUUUUGAAGAGUUUGUUGAACUUAACAAGUUUCUGCUGAAGGUGCAACAUGUGUUCUCAGACUUGGAGAGGGGUCGUGGAUUCCUUGUCCCAGAUGAUGUUUACGAGGCCUUGAUAAAAAUUGGAUUCCGCCUCGACUCUCCAGCCUUGUACACUGUCUGCGAGAGUUUUGAUAGUAAUAAGAAUGGAAAAUUCAGGCUUGAUGACUUCAUAUCUCUUUGUAUCUUUGUACAGUCUGCACGGAACCUUUUUGAUUCAUUUGACACAACCAAGCAAGGCCGAGUGACUCUCGAUCUUAACCAAUUUAUCUACUGCAGUGUUCUUUAGAAAAGGUGGCUUUUGGUAUCAAUUACUCAUCCAAUCUGAGUGGUGAACCCACAAGCCACACUGAUUGGCUAUGGCAGAAGUCUUCCCCUUUUUUUAGCGUGUUGUAAAUGUACCAUCUGUUUGAAACCAUGAAAAGGCCUCACCAGUUAGUUGAAGGUUGUGAUAUUCAUGCGAAUGAUGACCAUAGUGGUUCAAUGUGUUGGCCUUCCAAAAUAUAAGAUUGUCUCACAUGCCAAUGGGGGUUUUCACCAUCCCUGUCCUCGACAGAUAUGUAUAUGAUGCUCCUUCCCAGUUGAUGUGCCAAGAGAAGGAACAAUAGAAAGGGAAUGUAGGAAACGUUAAACAUUCACCUUUCAUGAUGGGCUGCCAAUUGUCGAAUCUGAGGUCGUUGUCUCAUUAUCCAGUUUCCAGUUGCUGCUAUUAGCAUUGAGUAGGAUGCUUUGUACGAUAUAUGUAAAAUGCAAUGAUUUGAAAAGAGACGUUGAGGCAAGCGGUGUAUGGUUGGAGAACUAAGGAGUCAUUUGGUUGUGUGUACAAGUUAUAUCAGGAAUGAAAAGGUGCAUGGAGUAUUAUAGGGUGACUAAAUCAAUCAUCACUAGAUUAUUGUAUUUGUUUAGACAUUCAGUUGGUACAUUAAAAUAUUGAUUUAUGAUGUACAUUUAAAACUUGUAUCUGGUAUUUAAAAGAAUCAUUAUUUGUUCCAAAUAAUCUCCUUAGCUUGUAUUAA